GAUGAACGCUGGCGGCGUGCCUAAUACAUGCAAGUCGAGCGAAUGGAUUAAGAGCUUGCUCUUAUGAAGUUAGCGGCGGACGGGUGAGUAACACGUGGGUAACCUGCCCAUAAGACUGGGAUAACUCCGGGAAACCGGGGCUAAUACCGGAUAACAUUUUGAACCGCAUGGUUCGAAAUUGAAAGGCGGCUUCGGCUGUCACUUAUGGAUGGACCCGCGUCGCAUUAGCUAGUUGGUGAGGUAACGGCUAACCAAGGCAACGAUGCGUAGCCGACCUGAGAGGGUGAUCGGCCACACUGGGACUGCGACACGGCCCAGACUACUACGGGAGGAAGCAGUAGGGAAUCUUCCGCAAUGGACGAAAGUCUGACGGAGCAACGCCGCGUGAGUGAUGAAGGCUUUCGGGUCGUAAAACUCUGUUGUUAGGGAAGAACAAGUGCUAGUUGAAUAAGCUGGCACCUUGACGGUACCUAACCAGAAAGCCACGGCUAACUACGUGCCAGCCGCCGCGGUAA
rnacentral:rRNA from 1 species